AUGAAGAGGAAGAUGGAAGAUAGAAAGAGGAGGCCACCGAGUAUAACUCGUGUAGGGUGUAAAGCUAAAUUGGUGAUUGCAAGACAUGAGGAAACAGGUCAGUGGUUUGUGAAGGAUUUCAUUGAUGAACACAACCAUCCUCUAGCCCCAUGGGAUCUGUCGUAUGUUUUGCGUUCACACAGAAGAAUUAACGAUGAGCAGAAAGCGGACAUUGCAGACAUGAAAAAAUCAGGGAUUAGGAAACACCAUAUUAUGGAUAUUCUGUGCAUGCAAUAUGGUGGAUAUGAUGAGGUUGGAUGCACGAAGAGGGACAUUUACAAUUUCUGCCAUGCUAACAAGCAGGAAUCAAUUGCUUCCGGGGAUGCUCAAACGGUGAUCAAUCACAUGGCGGCGAGGCGAGAGCGAGAUUCAGAUUUUUCCUUCAGGUAUUUGGUUGAUGAAGUUGGCCAUCUAAAGGGACUGUUCUGGUGUGAUAGUCAAUUACGACUUGAAUUUAGUUUCUAUGGUUUUCUUUUUCUGUUCAUAGACACCAAUAAGUACAAUCUGCCAUUUGUGCCGUUUGUCGGGUUGAAUCACCACCGCAACACUGUUAUUUUUGCAUGUGGUAUCAUUUCACAUGAAACAAGCCAGACAUACGAGUGGAUGUUACAGACCUUUUCUGAUGCUAUGGGACAGAAGCAUCCUAUAUCUGUGAUCACGUAUGGGGACCUUGCAAUGCAGAGAGCAAUCAGGGUGGUGUGGCCUGACUCAAACCAUAGGCUCUAUAUAUGGCACAUUCAGUAG
rnacentral:rRNA from 1 species